GAACGCUGGCGGCAGGCCUCAUACAUGCAAGUCGAGCGGUCCUUCGGGACAGCGGCGAACGGGUUAGUAACGCGUGGGAACGUGCCCUUUAGUACGGAAUAGCCAUUGGAAACGAUGAUUAAUACCGUAUACGCCCCAAGGGGGAAAGAUUUAUCGCUAAAGGAUCGGCCCGCGUUAGAUUAGGUAGUUGGUAGGGUAAUGGCCUACCAAGCCGACGAUCUAUAGCUGGUUUGAGAGGAUGAUCAGCAACACUGGGACUGAGACACGGCCCAGACUUCUACGGAAGGCAGCAGUAGGGAAUCUUGGACAAUGGGCGAAAGCCUGAUCCAGCCAUGCCGCGUGAGUGAUGAAGGCCCUAGGGUUGUAAAGCUCUUUCGCCAGGGAAGAUAAUGACGGUACCUGGUAAAGAAACCCCGGCUAA
rnacentral:rRNA from 1 species